rnacentral:misc_RNA from 1 species
UUAUAUAAAAUCGAUGUGUUGCUUGUUUGUAACAUGUUGGAGCUGGGUGAUCUUGAUUCCCUUGGGUUCAAGAGACCUGAAAUUGAUGUUCUCGCGCAUCUUUAGACGUGUAAGUCUUACCUCGUCUUUCAUGGAUGUCGUGCUUAUCAUUUACUGGGUGUGGUCACGUUGUUGAGCUCACGCCCAUAAGAUUUCGAG